rnacentral:rRNA from 1 species
UGGGGAAUAUUGGACAAUGGGCGCAAGCCUGAUCCAGCCACGCCGCGUGAGUGAUGAAGGCCUUCGGGUCGUAAAGCUCUGUGGGGAGGGACGAACGUCCCGUUGAAGAAACGGGGGUGACGGUACCUCCUUAGCAAGCACCGGCUAACUUCGUGCCAGCAGCCGCGGUAAUACGAAGGGUGCAAACGUUGCUCGGAAUCAUUGGGCGUAAAGCGCACGUAGGCGGCGCUGCAAGUCAUCUGUGAAAUCUCCGGGCUUAACUCGGAACGGUCAGAUGAUACUGCUUUGCUAGAGUGCAGAAGGGGCAAUCGGAAUUCUUGGUGUAGCGGUGAAAUGCGUAGAUAUCAAGAGGAACACCUGAGGUGAAGACGGGUUGCUGGGCUGACACUGACGCUGAGGCGCGAAAGCCAGGGGAGCAAACGGGAUUAGAUACCCCAGUAGUGAGCGGGCUGGCAAGGCGCAU